rnacentral:rRNA from 1 species
CCUACGGGAGGCAGCAGUGGGGAAUAUUGGACAAUGGGCGAAAGCCUGAUCCAGCCAUGCCGCGUGUGUGAAGAAGGUCUUCGGAUUGUAAAGCACUUUAAGUUGGGAGGAAGGGCAGUAAGCUAAUACCUUGCUGUUUUGACGUUACCGACAGAAUAAGCACCGGCUAACUCUGUGCCAGCAGCCGCGGUAAUACAGAGGGUGCAAGCGUUAAUCGGAAUUACUGGGCGUAAAGCGCGCGUAGGUGGUUUGUUAAGUUGGAUGUGAAAGCCCCGGGCUCAACCUGGGAACUGCAUCCAAAACUGGCAAGCUAGAGUACGGUAGAGGGUGGUGGAAUUUCCUGUGUAGCGGUGAAAUGCGUAGAUAUAGGAAGGAACACCAGUGGCGAAGGCGACCACCUGGACUGAUACUGACACUGAGGUGCGAAAGCGUGGGGAGCAAACAGGAUUAGAUACCCGGGUAGUC